UGGCAAUAAAAAUGUUAAAAAUUCGAAAGUCAAGAAAGGGUUGGCCGUGGAUAAUGGGCAGGGAUGGAAUUUCACUUUCUUCUCUAGAAGCACGAACCGAAAACGUUGUUAAUCGGUUUAUGGCAUCUUGUAAAAGGACCGAAAUGGAACAUCUUGGCGAGAGAGACGAGGCACGGUUACGUUCGCCAUAGAUGAUCGUGUAUGCAGACCUUGCGUCACGGACAAGGCGCAUCUGGAUCAUUGAACUCACUCGAACCGUCUGUCCAGGGACAAAACAGCAUCGAAUUAUGCAUUCUCGAAACCCUCGUCGACGCUAUUUCUCUUUUUUUUUUUUCUUCCGCUUCCUUUCUUCUCUAUUUUUAUCUCUACUUGAACGAGUGUACAAAAUUAUACGGAGAGACGAGAGACAGAAAA